UAGGGAAUCUUCCACAAUGGGCGCAAGCCUGAUGGAGCAACACCGCGUGAGUGAAGAAGGGUUUCGGCUCGUAAAGCUCUGUUGUUAAAGAAGAACAUAUCUGAGAGUAACUGUUCAGGUAUUGACGGUAUUUAACCAGAAAGCCACGGCUAACUACGUGCCA
rnacentral:rRNA from 1 species